CAUACCUAACCAGCUGCCUCGG
rnacentral:rRNA from 1 species